GGGCUCGUGGUCUAGUUGGUUAUGACGUCGCCCUUACACGGCGGAGGUCAGGAGUUCGAAUCUCCUCGAGCCCA
rnacentral:tRNA from 1 species